UACGUAGGGUGCAAGCGUUGUCCGGAAUUAUUGGGCGUAAAGAGCUCGUAGGCGGUCUGUCGCGUCUGCUGUGAAACUCAGGGCUUAACCCUGAGCUUGCAGUGGGUACGGGCAGACUAGAGUGCGGUAGGGGAGACUGGAAUUCCUGGUGUAGCGGUGAAAUGCGCAGAUAUCAGGAGGAACACCGAGUGGCGAAGGCAGGUCUCUGGGCAUUAACUGACGCUGAGGAGCGAAAGCAUGGGGAGCGAACAGG
rnacentral:rRNA from 1 species